UACGGGGGGGGGUAAGCGUUGUUCGGAAUUACUGGGCGUAAAGGGCUCGUAGGCGGCCAACUAAGUCAUACGUGAAAUCCCUCAGCUUAACUGGGGGAACUGCGUGUGAUACUGGAUGGCUUGGAUUUGGGAGAGGGAUGCGGAAUUCCAGGUGUAGCGGUGAAAUGCGUAGAUAUCUGGAGGAACACCGGUGGCGAAGGCGGCAUCCUGGACCAACACUGACACUGAGGAGCGAAAGCCAGGGGAGCAAACGGG
rnacentral:rRNA from 1 species